rnacentral:lncRNA from 1 species
CUUCAAUUAGUACACAUUAAUUUGUCCUAGGUUAAGAUAAGCAUUCAAUUUGUUUAUAUUCAGCCGAAUUUAUUAUAUAUGUAAUUAAGUUGUUUGAAUCAUUACAUGUCUUAAAUGUGUCCUAAUGUGGCUGCCAAAUUUAUUAAGCCUUGUUGACCAUGUGACUGUCGAAUUUAUUAUGUCUUAUUGACCCCUUUUAAUUUGUCUUAAAACAAGAGUUAAUGGCUGACUUAAAUGGGUGCAGGUACAUGGAUGGCAAUUAAAGAGAAAGGUUGCUGCUGCAUUUUUCCAAGCUGCCGAAUUUAAUGUGUGCAUGGGACUUGGGACGGCAUUUAAAGAGAAGGUUGCUGCUGCCUUUUUCCAAGCUGCCAAAUUUAAUGUGUGCAUGGGACUUGGGACGACAUUAAAAGAGGAGGCUGCUGUUGCAUUUUUCUAAGCUGAUUAUUCAGCUCACCAAUGCACCUUUAAAGCUCCACCGGCCGAAAUUGUUCAUUUCAUACACAAAGCCCUUUCAUUUUCGUGUGUUCACAUACAAGGGCUGAUCAUUUCCUUCAGUUCACAGUUAAUAAUGGUUGGAGAAACCGAGCUAACCUUUGAGAAGUCCAAGCUAUUUAGCUGAUCAAUGAGCCACAAUUAAAGCAAAGUUCACUCCCUUGGCCGAAUCUACAUGCACCAUUCAGCUACCAAGGCCUCCAAUUUACUCCAACUGAAUUUCAAGGCAUUUAGAAGCUGAAUUUUGACCUCCCAAAUGCACCAGGAAGCAACCUGGAAUUUUCAACUUAAUUAAGUGAAUUUAAAGAUGGAAUUUCAGCCAAGUAUUUUGUCCAUUCGGCUAGCCCCUAUUUGGCUAUAAAUAUCAAGUUCAAAACAUGUACAA